GACGAACGCUGGCGGCGUGCCUAAUACAUGCAAGUCGAGCGGACCUCUUCGGAGGUUAGCGGCGGACGGGUGAGUAACACGUGGGCAACCUGCCUGUAAGACUGGGAUAACUCCGGGUAACCGGAGCUAAUACCGGAUAGUAUCUUGAACCGCAUGGUUCAAGUUGGAAAGACGGUUUCGGCUGUCACUUACAGAAGGGCCCGCGGCGCAUUAGCUAGUUGGUGAGGUAAUGGCUCACCAAGGCAACGAUGCGUAGCCGACCUGAGGGGGUGAUCGGCCACACUGGGACUGAGACACGGCCCAGACUCCUACGGGAGGCAGCAGUAGGGAAUCUUCCGCAAUGGACGAAAGUCUGACGGAGCAACGCCGCGUGAGUGAUGAAGGUUUUCGGAUCGUAAAACUCUGUUGUUAGGGAAGAACAAGUGCGAGAGUAACUGCUCGCACCUUGACGGUACCUAACCAGAAAGCCACGGCUAACUAUGUGCCAGCAGCCGCCGUAA
rnacentral:rRNA from 1 species